rnacentral:lncRNA from 1 species
CAGAGACUGGAAUGGAGAUGUGGAGCAGCGUGAUCCAGGGUCGGAGUUCGGCAGCCUCCCGUGUCCGCAACACUUCGUUUUCUGUCUGGCAUCAGCACUCUGCUCAACUGAGGGCAGGCCCCAAACUGAGAAAUAAGUGCUAUGAAACUUAAAGCAUGUUGGCAUAUUUUUACCUCACUGUUGUAUUCUGCGUGUUCUCCUUCCCCUUCACACAAAGCAAAAGAUGAUCUAUAACCAUUGCUGGGCACAUGCCGAGGAGAGAUGAUUUGUUAAUGAGUGUAUACACAAUCUUUUCCUAUCCAGUUUGUAAAUAGGAGUUCGGGUGCGCUUGAGGGGCUUCUUCACUGCUCCGGAAAGCUCCCAUUGGUUUGGAACAAACCUUUUAAAAAUUAUUUAUGCUGUCUUUUGAGGCAAUAAUACAAGAAUAUGACAAGUAAUGAAAAGAUUUUAGCAUCAGGAGAACAAAGGAAACCCCUGCAAGGCGCACGUUCUCACUAGACCAAGAGACCUGGAGAUUUUCUUUGGUUUUUUACACACGUGUAAAUAGACUGGAAUGUUUUUAAGAAUAUAAUGAAAUGUCAGAUUUAGCUUUUUUCCUUUUAUAUAUUAAAAUAUAUCUUUCCCUCUUUUUCUGCUUUUGAAAAAUGGAUAUUUUUGUAGAAAUCUAACGGUAAAGGACUCUUUAACUGUAUGUGAGGGACAAAGUGUACAACUAAAAUAAACCAAUCGAGGUCAACUAG